rfam:Bombyx mori DNA, contig: Bm_scaf38_contig22291, strain: p50T/Dazao, build 2, whole genome shotgun sequence.
CUAACUCCUAAAAUUUGUAUGGAGUUGGAACAGCGGCCUUACGUUUGCCGCUAGGGCCUCUGCUUUAACUCCAUACAAAUUUGAGUUA